rnacentral:rRNA from 1 species
CAAGGUUUCCGUAGGUGAACCUGCGGAAGGAUCAUUACCGAGUGAGGGCCCUCUGGGUCCAACCUCCCACCCGUGUCUAUCGUACCUUGUUGCUUCGGCGGGCCCGCCGUUUCGACGGCCGCCGGGGAGGCCUUGCGCCCCCGGGCCCGCGCCCGCCGAAGACCCCAACAUGAACGCUGUUCUGAAAGUAUGCAGUCUGAGUUGAUUAUCGUAAUCAGUUAAAACUUUCAACAACGGAUCUCUUGGUUCCGGCAUCGAUGAAGAACGCAGCGAAAUGCGAUAAGUAAUGUGAAUUGCAGAAUUCAGUGAAUCAUCGAGUCUUUGAACGCACAUUGCGCCCCCUGGUAUUCCGGGGGGCAUGCCUGUCCGAGCGUCAUUGCUGCCCUCAAGCACGGCUUGUGUGUUGGGCCCCCGUCCCCCUCUCCCGGGGGACGGGCCCGAAAGGCAGCGGCGGCACCGCGUCCGGUCCUCGAGCGUAUGGGGCUUUGUCACCUGCUCUGUAGGCCCGGCCGGCGCCAGCCGACACCCAACUUUAUUUUUCUAAGGUUGACCUCGGAUCAGGUAGGGAUACCCGCUGAACUUAAGCA